rnacentral:rRNA from 1 species
CCAAUAGCGUAUAUUAAAGUUGUUGCAGUUAAAAAGCUCGUAGUUGAAUUUCGGGAUCAAUACGUCGGUCGUGCCUCUGGUAUGUACUGGUGUUAUUGAUUCCUCCUUUCUGAUGAACCAUAAUGUCAUUAAUUUGGUGUUGUGGGGAGUCAGGACUGUUACUUUGAAAAAAUUAGAGUGUUUAAAGCAGGCCUACGCUUGAAUACAUUAGCAUGGAAUAAUGAAAUAGGACGUUCGAACCUAUUUUGUUGGUUUUUAGGAUCAACGUAAUGAUUAAUAGGGAUAGGUGGGGGGAUUAGUAUUCAAUUGUCAGAGGUGAAAUUCUUGGAUUUAUUGAAGACUAACUACUGCGAAAGCAUUUGCCAAGGAUGUUUUCAUUAAUCAAGAACGAAAGUUAGGGGAUCGAAGACGAUCAGAUACCGUCGUAGUCUUAACCAUAAACGAUGCCGACUAGGGAUCGGAUGAUGUUAAUUUUUUAAUGACUCAUUCGGCGCCUUACG